rnacentral:lncRNA from 1 species
UGCCAUCUCUUAGCCAUCCGAUUGUGGCUUCUCCCAAGGGGGAGCCCUCAGGCUGUGAAAAGGACAGGAUACUGGCCCCAGGUAGUUGAGGUGUAUAUCAAGGAAAAGAUUUCAGUGAGCCCAGAAUUUAUAUCUUCCCGCACAGAGAAAAGCACCAAAUUCCUUGACUGGAGACAUCCGGUUUUCUUUUGUUAACAGUUAUCUUUUGUUCCUAUUACAUGCCCUUUGUUACAAAACUCCUAUAUAUCCUAGCUCAUCCUUUGCCUCCUCAAAGCAGUUUCUCAGGGUUAUUUGAAAUGUUGCCUCUUGGGCUAUGGUCCUCAUUUGGUCCAAAAAACUAAUAAAACAAAAACUAUGUUGUGCAUUUUUAAAAGUUGACACUGUGAUCCAGAUUAUAUUGAUCAAACUUCAUAUCACAAACUCCCCACAGCUUUCAGGGAAAGGUUUUUAGGACAAGGGGUAAGGACAAGUUAGUGGACCUGGAUCUUCUGUGCAAAAGCCAGGCUGUCCCUUCACUUCCAAGUCUUAACGGGAAUGUUAGCUAAGGACUACACAGAGAAGGAAGUUCUGAAACAAUUCAGUUCAGCUGAACUAAGUUGAUAGAGUAUAAACUAUGUCAGAACUUGUGGGUGUGGCUCUAAAAACUUCUGGGGGUAUGAAAAGAGGGGCUGGGUCCAUGCCACCUGGUAGUUAGAGCCGAGGUCUUUCCUGAAGCCCUGGAGCUCAGCAGAAGGUUGUCAAGGCCAACUUGAGAUUUCAUAUUGUGUUCUCGAAUCGAUUGGUUACCUGCUUGCACUUAUAAAUAUAUCCAUUUUCUACUUCAAAAAAAAAAAAAAGGCAAGAAAACUUCAUAUUAUAUACUCACUUCUUUUUCUGUUAAGUGCUUAGAGAAAGACAGUAAACGCUUACUACUCUGGGAGUUCCCACUGUGGUGCAGUGGGUUAAAUAUCUGGUAUUGUCUCUGAAGGCAGCUCGGGUUUGAUCCUGGCCUGGCACAAUGGGUUAAGGAUCCAGUGUUUCUUCAGCGUAGGGCAUAGGUUGCAACAAUGACUUGGACAGAUUUGAUCUCUAGCCUGGGAACUUCCAUAUGCCCGGGGUGUGGCUGAAAUAGUAAAAACAAAACAAAACUCAAAAAACUUGCUGCUCUGUUGCUGCGCUUAUAAGAAUCGUUUUGUCUUUAUCCCUAUUCCUGUAACCAAGCUAGUGCCCUGUGGGGCUCCUAGGCACACAAGCCUUUCUCUGUCCUCCUUUUCUUGUUUUUAGGGAAUAAGCCUCAGCUUCCAUGACCUUCCCUGAGUUCCAAAGUGCCGUUGCUAAUCAGAUGCAGAGACCAGGGAGGAGCUGUGCGGUCUUGGGGCAGGGUCCUGGUUCUUCCUCAAGGAAUAUACAUAACGAUAUCUUUGAGCCUUUCUGUGGGGCUAAAACCCCCAAGAAAUGGAAGAAUUCCUUGAUGAAGCAUUCUUCAUUCCUGGAAGAAGGAGCACCACCAGAGCCAAUCCUGGGGCUGCUAAACACCAGCUUUGAAAGACAAUGCAAGCCUGCCUCUACCCUGAGCCUUAUCUAUGGCUCUCCUCCUUAUUCCACUCCCCAAAGUAUAAAACCACUUCCUAACUCCUUAGAAAGGGGACACAGUCUUUAAAGCAUUGUGGCCCCUUUUGCCUGGCAAAGCAGUAAAGCUAUCACUUUCUCCUUUACCCCAAACUCUGUCUCUGUGUUUAUAUUUGGCACUGGCAAGCAGAGGCCAAAUUUCAGUAACAUGCCUGGCACAGAGCUCCUAAAACUCUUGGAAUUUUCUGAUUGGUUGGGGAGUAUUUUGUUACCCUGAAUUUAAGCUAAUGAGGAUACUUAAGAUGGGGACCCUAAGUAGCCUCAUGAUGGGGCUGGUCAUUAGAAAGACCCAGUGACUAGAGGAUUGAAGCUUUCAGCCCUGUCCACUGAUCUCUGGGGAGGGUGGGUGAGAGAUGGUAUUAAUGCUUAAAUACUAUAAAAACUUCUGAACAAGGAUAUUUGGGGGAGUUUCCAGGUUGGUGCCAGGAGGGUUGAGCCAGGAGAGGGCAUGGAAACUAUGCCUCCCCAUCCCCCACACUUUGCUCUAUGAAUUUCUUCCAUCUAGUUCUUCCAGAGAUGUAUCCUUUAUAAUAAACUAGUCAUAGGAAGUACAGCAGUUACAUAGUACUAUAUGCAAUAUUUGGAAGGACAAACAAAAUAAUUUUAUUUCUGGAAUUUACAGUUUCUAUGGUUUUUCUAGUUUUUAAAAUCUAUUUUUUAUUUUUCUAUAUUAAAUAUUUUUAUGGAUAUUAUUUUAGAUAAGAAGUCUCUCUUUUCAUUGCAUUGCAUAUACCAUGUAUGAACAAAUAAUUAAAACAAUUUUCCAAUUGAUCACUGGAAUCAUUUUUUUUUAAACGUUUGGACAGAUUUUGUUGCUAUUAUUUCAUCUUUUUCUCUAAGGAAAUUAUCCUCAUUGUUGCUUGGUCUAGGAUUUUUUUUUUUUGUAAAGUAAAUUACAUUUUAAAUUCAAUNGAGAGUUUUGAAUGAGGUCCUCCAAGGAUGUUUUAACUCAGUUUUCUUCUUGCCUGUUACAGUUGAAGGAAAUAAACUCUUUGACCAGAGAAAAUGAGAAUGUCUGCUUUUGCAGAGGCGUAAAGGCUUUUGAAUUCCUCCUUGCUCUUUGGACUUUAUCUUCUUUCAGUUACUCAGAGUGCACAGAAGUAUGUCUUAAUUUUAAAGUAGGAUCAUAUUUCUUAUAAGUUUAGAGAUACACAUAUAUAUAAAUACAUAGUGACCACUGGUUUCUGGGGGCAGGGGACUAGGAGUGCAGUUCGAUAAUCAUACUGGUCCUUUUUUGUUAAUCUGUGAAGCUCACUAAGGUCAUCUGGGGUAGAGUUUUCUGGUGAAACAGUGAAGAAUGUCCAAGGUCAGUCAUGGGAUGUUUUCUAGCAGGCACAUUCGCACAGGUAAUUUAUACAGCAUGUGUUUGUGAUUAUGUUUCCUUCUAGUAAAAAAAAAAAAAAAAA